rnacentral:rRNA from 1 species
ACGGAGGGUGCGAGCGUUAAUCGGAAUUACUGGGCGUAAAGCGCAUGCAGGCGGUUCAUUAAGUCAGAUGUGAAAGCCCGGGGCUCAACCUCGGAACUGCAUUUGAAACUGGUGGACUAGAGUACUGCAGAGGGGGGUAGAAUUCCAGGUGUAGCAGUGAAAUGCGUAGAGAUCUGGAGGAACACCGAUGGCGAAGGCAGCCCCCUGGGCAGAUACUGACGCUCAGGUACGAAAGCGUGGGGAGCAAACAG